rnacentral:rRNA from 1 species
GUGCUUGCACUCAAUUGGAAAGAGGAGUGGCGGACGGGUGAGUAACACGUGGGUAACCUACCCAUCAGAGGGGGAUAACACUUGGAAACAGGUGCUAAUACCGCAUAACAGUUUAUGCCGCAUGGCAUAAGAGUGAAAGGCGCUUUCGGGUGUCGCUGAUGGAUGGACCCGCGGUGCAUUAGCUAGUUGGUGAGGUAACGGCUCACCAAGGCCACGAUGCAUAGCCGACCUGAGAGGGUGAUCGGCCACACUGGGACUGAGACACGGCCCAGACUCCUACGGGAGGCAGCAGUAGGGAAUCUUCGGCAAUGGACGAAAGUCUGACCGAGCAACGCCGCGUGAGUGAAGAAGGUUUUCGGAUCGUAAAACUCUGUUGUUAGAGAAGAACAAGGACGUUAGUAACUGAACGUCCCCUGACGGUAUCUAACCAGAAAGCCACGGCUAACUACGUGCCAGCAGCCGCGGUAAUACGUAGGUGGCAAGCGUUGUCCGGAUUUAUUGGGCGUAAAGCGAGCGCAGGCGGUUUCUUAAGUCUGAUGUGAAAGCCCCCGGCUCAACCGGGGAGGGUCAUUGGAAACUGGGAGACUUGAGUGCAGAAGAGGAGAGUGGAAUUCCAUGUGUAGCGGUGAAAUGCGUAGAUAUAUGGAGGAACACCAGUGGCGAAGGCGGCUCUCUGGUCUGUAACUGACGCUGAGGCUCGAAAGCGUGGGGAGCAAACAGGAUUAGAUANCCUGGUAGUCCACGCCGUAAACGAUGAGUGCUAAGUGUUGGAGGGUUUCCGCCCUUCAGUGCUGCAGCAA